GGGGCCUUGAAUGCUCAGGGGUUUUUUUUAUCAGAAUGCUUGCUUAAAUGUCUUCUUUAAAAGACUUCCUUAAUCCUUGAACAGUUAAUUAUGCUUCUAUAACUGACCUGGACUAAUUUAUGAGUUCAAUUUUACUUUGUUUGCUUUCCCAGCUGCUAAUCCUGUGUUAUGCUCAACAUGUGCAAGAUAUUUAUGUCUUGUCUUAAUUUUAAACGAGUUUGCAGGAAUUUUGUUGGAUUUGGCAGAAGGAGAACACAAUGAGAAGGGGUGAGGAUUUAAAGGCAGGGAAAACAAAACACCCUGUUUCUCCUCAUCCAGUGACCUCCCUAAUCUACUGCCAUUUGCCUCAGGUGACUGCUGUCCUGUUCUCAAUAUUGAGCCUCUCCUGGAUCACACCAAGGGUCCUUCUUGUCCAGUAUCCCAUCACCAUCAUCAGACAUCAGGGGGAUGCCUAUGGAAAAUGGUCUUCACACCAGAACUCUCAGCUAUCAGCCUUUCCCAGAGCUGAAAGCCACUUCUGUGUAUUCAGUAACCCCAAUAGCUUGCUUUUCCAUGCACU